GAGUAACAACUUGUUCAAUUACUGUAAAACAAACAACACCCUUGGAAAUUUUACUCGAUACAUAUAGCUGAACAAUUCUUCUUUGGAUGGUGCUUUUCUUAAAAGUGACGAAGUUAAAACUGUCUCUAUGCUAAGUGUUUAGAUAGUUGCCAUGACAAUAGGAUAAUCCCUUCUUUCCAUAGCGCUUUACUCAAAAGUAAUUUAUCUGAAACUAGAGCUAAGUUGUGUGUUUAAGUUUUUCAGGAAGAAUGCAUCUUCAAAAAUCUACCAUCCUGCAAAUGAUGGAAAUUGCACUCUUAAGUGUAGCAAUUUUCCCAUAUUGCUUUAGUAAGCCUUCUGAAAUUAUAAGAAAUCAAGAGGACAAAUCAUACAACCAGCUAAAGGAAGGGAUUCUUCACAACAAUAACAAAAUCGUCAUCUCAUGUACUUUUGGAGAAAAAGUAAUACUUAUCAUCGACAAUGAAAACUCAAGCUUGCAAGCAAUGGAUCAGAAUCUUGAAAAACUCAUAAAUAAGUCAUGUACAUUGCUUUCGAUUUCCUCGUAAAAUGGCCAUUGCACAUUGAUCUCUGAAAUGCAUGUAAAUAAUGAAUUAAAUAUAUCGUUGGACAAUCUUCAACGCUUCUACGAAUUUGAUCCCCUGCCUAAGGAGAUUUCUAUAAUCAAUCUCCAGUUUCACAAAAAUAAUUGAUUCACGUCUUCACAAAUUGACCACCUAUGUGGAUGAAAUUGGUGCAUAACAUGAGAUCAACUGGCGCAGGUUUGACUUGAUUUAGCUUUACAAAACGUAUCAAGUGCAUUAAGAAAACGGAUAAGAUCUUUAUUUUUUAUGAAUUCUUUUGAAAUUUUCCCUGUUAUCGUAAAUGAUUGAAAUCAAGAGGAUGUCGAUUUUCACCGGUGAAUGUCAAGAAUCACAUACUCGCUUUGGUGAAUGUCCAAAAUAUUUGUUAUAUCCUAUUUGAUAUUAAUUUAUUCGUUGAUAUUAUUAUUUUUAUUCGAUAGUUAAAUAUUUUCUGAGGAUAGAUUACGAAAAAUAUCAGUGUUAAGAGUACCGAUUAAAUGCAUGACGGAUAGUGAUACUUUUAACUUUAAAAGAACAUGAGUGUAGGGUAUACCGGACACCGAGUAGGGUAUACCGGACACCAAGUACACCGGGCAGUGGUACUUAAAUAGACCUUGUACUCAUAUAUAUUUCGGAGCCUCGGUAGCGCAGUAGGCAGCGCUUUAGACUCAUAUAUAUUUCGGACAUUUAACAAAGCGAACAUGUGAUUGUCAACAUUCACCGGUUACAGUGCUGGUAGAAGUCAACAACCGCCAAUUCCAGUCAUUCAAAGUGACAUUGCACUAGUAUUGUACUAGUAAGUAAGUUUCUGAACUGUAUAUAAUUAUGCUUUAUGAGUAUUUAAUAAUAAAGUUAUUCUCGAUCUUUU